AUGUCUUGGAAGAAUCAAAGAAAAAUCUCAGGAAAAUCUCUUUCUAUCUCUCUGCAAUCUUCUUCGUUUCUUUCUCCACCACUGUUUCUCAAUCGACAUCUCCACAGUUCUUCAGUCAUCAUCUCACAAUCAUCAACAACUCUUGCCUCUGCAACAGAUUCAUCGUCUUCAAUUUGCAAUCAACACCAUCGCUCUUAA